rnacentral:lncRNA from 1 species
CAGGGAGCAGGAAUUACACAGAGACCUUGAGCCUGCACAGUGCUGUGUGACAACAGGGGAGGAGACAGGUAGAGUCACCUUGGGAGAGUGAGCCUCCAUCGGAUUGCUUGGGAAUGCUUGGAAAUUGCUGGGAGAAAAUGCCUCUAUUGGAUUGCUUGAAAACUAGGAAUGCAACGUGACCCCCACCUCAUACUCCUGCUGCCGUGAUUUCCGUGCCAUGGUGGACUAUACCUUGGAACUGCGAACCCAAAUGCAUCUUUCCUUCCUUAUGUUGCCUUUGUUAGACAUUCUGUCAUAACAGUGAGAAAAGUAACUGCAGGAUGUACAUUACAUGCCCCUUCUUGGAAUACUGAGGCGUGUUUCCUCUUUGCUCUCUGCACUCUUUAAAUCCAUCUCUUUUCCUUUAUCCGCAAUUCUUUUCUUUU